AGCCCACCAGCGGAUUUCCCUGACUGGCCACGUGCCAAAGGUUGCUGAUCCCUGCCAUAGAUAUUUCAGCUGUGGAAAGUGCAGGAGACAAAAUAAAGAGGAACAAAAGCCGUACUGGACAAGAAACUGAACAUGAGUUCCAGUGUGAUGAUGUAGCAAAAAGUGCUACUGUUAUCUUUGGAUAUAUUAAAGGCUGCAGAGGCCAGAGGGGGAAGGAAAAAGAAAGCAGAGAACGGGUUCAUUCAGCUCUCCAGCUCGUUCAGGCAGAAGAUAAGGCACUGACUCUAACCCAAGGCUGCAGCUCACAGCUGACACGUGGCUGCCUGCCGAGAAGACGGGGGCCCGGAAUCCACCGACCAGCCAUGAAAAAGGACAUUUCAGCUGAACAGACCUGCAGAGGCAGUCCAUAAUGAGCAAAACAAGUGAAGGCCAGCACGGAGGAAAACAAAGAGGACAACUAAGUCUAGCCAGUGUGUUUUGGGAAAGUUGAGAAGAUCACAAAGAGCUGAUUUUGACUGGUACAAAGAGCAUCAGGAGCAGAGGUCCCUGAACGCAACACCCCCAAAGAAACCCAGGACUUUAAAACCCUCCUGAGAGCCGGAGCAACUCGGAGAUCACAGCGGACCCCGGACGACCUGGGCCCAAAACAAAAACUCCCAUCCACCGUUCCCCCCACUCUUCUUCCGUUACACCCAGGCUUGGCCAGCCUUGGGUAGUGCAUGUGUGAGUAUGAAAGUGGGUUAGGUCUUGGGACACUAACACUUUGCUUUUUCUUCCUUGAGUGAUGUGUGGGAUCCCCAGAACUCU